rnacentral:rRNA from 1 species
CGGUACGUACUGGUAUUGUUGGUUUCUCCCUUCUGACGAACCAUGAUGCCAUUUAUUUGGUGUUGUGGGGAAUCAGGACUGUUACUUUGAAAAAAUUAGAGUGUUUAAAGCAGGCUCACGCUUGAAUACAUUAGCAUGGAAUAAUGAAAUAGGACGUUUGAUUCUAUUUUGUUGGUUUCUAGGAUCGACGUAAUGAUUAAUAGGGAUAGUUGGGGGCAUUAGUAUUCAAUUGUCAGAGGUGAAAUUCUUGGAUUUAUUGAAGACUAACUACUGCGAAAGCAUUUGCCAAGGAUGUUUUCAUUAAUCAAGAACGAAAGUUAGGGGAUCGAAGACGAUCAGAUACCGUCGUAGUCUUAACCAUAAACUAUGCCGACUAGGGAUCGGAUGAUGUUAAUUUUUUAAUGACUCAUUCGGCGCCUUACG